UACGGAGGGUGCGAGCGUUGUCCGGAAUCACUGGCGUAAAGGGCGCGAGUAGGCGGCGCGGAAAGUCGUCGGUGAAAGCUCGGGGCUCAACCCUGAGUCUGCCGGUGAUACUCCCGCGCUCGAGCUCACUAGAGGCAGAUGGAAUUCCGGGUGUAGCGGUGGAAUGCGUAGAGAUCCGGAAGAACACCGGUGGCGAAGGCGGUCUGCUGGGGUGAGGCUGACGCUGAUGCGCGACAGCGUGGGGAGCAAACAGG
rnacentral:rRNA from 1 species